GUGCAGCAGGCGCGAAAACUCCGCAAUGCCCGAAAGGGUGACGGGGGGAUUCCAAGUGCCUACGCUUAGCGUAGGCUGUUCAGGUGCCUAAAAAGCACCUGGAGGAAGGGCUGGGUAAGACGGGUGCCAGCCGCCGCGGUAAUACCCGCAGCCCGAGUGGUAGUCGCUUUUAUUGGGCCUAAAGCGUCCGUAGCCGGUCUGGUAAAUGCCUGGGUAAAUCGUGGGGCUUAACCUCACGAAUUCCGGGUAGACUGCCAGACUUGGGACCGGUUGAGGGAGAGGGUACUCCAGGGGUAGGGGUGAAAUCAGCAAGGUAAGCUGAUGUAACUUGCCUUGCAAGUCACAAUCCUGUAAUCCUUGGAGGACCACCGGUGGCGAAAGCGCUCUCCUAGGACGGGUCCGACGGUGAGGGACGAAAGCCAGGGGAGCAAACCGGAUUAGAUACCCCCGUAGU
rnacentral:rRNA from 1 species